AGCAUCAUUUCUGACAGCCCCUGAACGCAACAUCACAGCUCGCUAAUUUGUCCUGAAGUCUUCUCUGACAACAGAACAUCGAUCAUCUCCUCUGUGGUUAAACCUCACUGCUGGUGAAUUAUUGCUGACACUGAGCUAAGUGGCCUAGUCUUCCCUGUCUACUCCACUUUGGACGUCUUGGUGAUCUGACAGUGUCCUGCUGGCCAGCAUCUCUCCUCUAUCAUAAACGCUCUCUGUCUAUCCUAUACCUUCUAUCCACUCUGUCUCAUUAUUGGAACCUCUAUCUAUCCUAUCACAUCUACCGCUCUGUCUUUGAUAUCCACAACUCUAUCUUUGUAUCCCCCUUCUAUCCACUCUGUCUCAUUAUUGGAACCUCUAUCUAUCCUAUCAAAUCUACCGCUCUGUCUACAAUAUACAAUUCAGGUUACUAAUACCUGAUCUAACCACAUAACGUUGGUUACCCUUUAUUACAACAACCUCACAAGUACCUGAUCCAUCUUUUGAUGAACAAACUCUGCUGAACCACAUUACGUUGGUACCCUUUGUUACAACAACCUCAGGUUACAAGUACCUGUUCUACUAGAUCUACUAUCAGAUUAUCCUCUUUUAAUCUUCUAUCUACACGCAAUAGAAUACGAUUACUAUCUACAAAUUGGGCAAAGCUUUUGGAAUAAACUGAGUCUGUUUUAGUCAGAAUUAGUUUGAACGUAAAAUUGGAAAAAAGGUUAACAGGAUAUUUAUACACAUAGCACGGUUUCUUUAAUUGAAUAUCACUAGAUAUAUUAGCAAAAUUAUUGUUUACUUUAUUUAAAAUCUUUUUCAUAUACACAUACAUUGUUUAAGUGUCCAAGUGUUUUGUUGUUAAACUUUUCAUACUGAAAUAAAAU